rnacentral:rRNA from 1 species
GUCGUAACAAGGUUUCCGUAGGUGAACCUGCGGAAGGAUCAUUAUAGAAUAAAUUUGAACAGGCUGUUGCUGGUCCUUUUUAUGAGGACAUGUGCACGCUUGCCAUCUUUAUGUUUUUCCAACUGUGCACCAUAUUGUGGAUCUGGGAUUUUUUUGUGGUUAUUAUCUUGUUGCAUAGAUUGAGGAUUGCAUUGUUUCACUGUUAUAGUGCUUUCCUUGCAUUUCCAGAYCCAUGUUUGCUUUUCAUCAUCUCUGAAUGUAUUGGAAUGUUGAAUAUAUGAAAUAAAACACAACUUUCAGCAAUGGAUCUCUUGGCUCUCGCAUCGAUGAAGAACGCAGCGAAAUGCGAUAAGUAAUGUGAAUUGCAGAAUUCAGUGAAUCAUCGAAUCUUUGAACGCAUCUUGCGCUCCUUGGUAUUCUGAGGAGCAUGCCUGUUUGAGUGUCAUUAAAGUUCUCUCAAUCCACACACAGAUUUGUAUGUGGCUUUUGGUUGGUGGGAGUUUUGCAGGCUCUAGAAAAUGAGGUCUGCUCUCCUGAAAAGUAUUAGCAGUAUUGUGGAAGCUGCUGUGGGUGUGAUAAAUAUCUAAGCCUUUUCAGCAAUUUCAUUGUUCUGCUUCUAGAGAAGCUUGUUUGGAUAAAACUUGACCUCAAAUCAGGUAGGACUACCCGCUGAACUUAAGCAU